rnacentral:misc_RNA from 1 species
UUUCAUUUGAGUACAAUUACAAUCCCUCUAGUAGUUACUUUCCCUUUUCAAAAGAAACUAUAUAUUAGCACUAGAUUAUGAUUUUAGGUUGUAUAUGCACAUUAACAUUAAUGAAUAUGUUUGAUUGCUAGAUAAAAAGGACUCAAGUACUAUUGGGUGAGUAUGUGAAUAACCUAAGAUUUGUUAUUGUGCCUAUGCAGAUAACUUUCCCUUUCUCUUGUGAGACCCUGCUACUUCCCUUAUCAAUGCAUUUUGUGUAUAGUUUCAGUGUUGGCAAUUCAUUUAUCAACCUACCAUGAUGAAUUUCUAAUUUUUAUUAUAUUCCUCAAAGCAAAACUCGCACGCUCACUGGAUAAUUCCUUUUAUAUAUGUAGAAUGUACAAGCAUAUUUGUUUUGUGCUUAAUUCUAUGUGCAUUUGCAGGUUUUUCACCCUUUUUCCAUACAGGAAA